GGCGGGCAGCCCAGGGUCCAGGGGAACAGACUGCGAGCCACCUGCGGUCCUAUCCGGAAAUCCAGGCAGGGCUGCAGAGAGGAGUGAGCGGUGAAGGUCGUCCCAGCUUUUCUCCUCUGCUCUCCGUUCACCGGUGCCCAGGGACUCGGAGCCCACUCCCCCGAGAUCGGAGUCUCCCUUUGGGGUCCACCUAGUCGGUGAGCAGAGGCAGGAAGCCCAGAAGAGGCAGCGGAGGGGACUGGGGCCGAAGGCCAGCGACCCGCGCCCUUAAGUUCUGCUCCGGGAACGAAGCAAAAACGCCCCAGGUGGAGCGAGAAACCUCUGUACUUCAGCAUCCAUGGAAUCCUCUUCCAAGCUGUAUGUCAAAAAGCAGGUCUUGUGAAGUGGCACAGGUGGGCUUGGACUCGUCCUUCUCCGGCCACAGCUCCCUGGGUACCAGGGUUACAGGUGCGCAUAUCAUACCCGGCCAGCUGAGCUGGUCCGUCCUUCUUAGGAUUUGCCCCAUCUUCUGU
rnacentral:lncRNA from 1 species